rnacentral:rRNA from 1 species
CUUGAAACACGGACCAAGGAGUCUAACAUGUGCGCAAGUCAUGGGGUGUUACGAAACCUAAAGGCGAAAUGAAAGUGAAGGACCGCCUCUCGGUGGUCUGAGGUGGGAUCCGGCCGUCUUCGGACAUCAUAAGGUCGGCGCACCACCGGCCCGUCUCGUCGGCUCUGUCCGUGAGGCGGAGCAAGAGCGUACACGUUGGGACCCGAAAGAUGGUGAACUAUGCCUGAGUAGGUCGAAGCCAGAGGAAACUCUGGUGGAGGACCGUAGCGAUUCUGACGUGCAAAUCGAUCGUCGAACUUGGGUAUAGGGGCGAAAGACUAAUCGAACCGUCUAGUAGCUGGUUCCCUCCGAAGUUUCCCUCAGGAUAGCUGGCGCUCGUUAGAGCAGUUUUAUCCGGUAAAGCGAAUGACUAGAGGUCUUGGGGACGAAACGUUCUCAACCUAUUCUCAAACUUUAAAUGGGUAAGAAGUCCGACUCGCUCGAGCUGGAGCCGGGCGACGAAUGCUGAGUGCCCAGUGGGCCACUUUUGGUAAGCAGAACUGGCGCUGUGGGAUGAACCAAACGUCCGGUUAAGGCGCCCAACGAGGACGCUCAUCAGAUACCAUAAAAGGUGUUGGUUGAUAUAGACAGCAGGACGGUGGCCAUGGAAGUCGGAA